rnacentral:rRNA from 1 species
GAUGAACGCUGGCGGCGUGCCUAAUACAUGCAAGUCGAGCGAACAGACGAGGAGCUUGCUCCUCUGACGUUAGCGGCGGACGGGUGAGUAACACGUGGAUAACCUACCUAUAAGACUGGGAUAACUUCGGGAAACCGGAGCUAAUACCGGAUAAUAUAUUGAACCGCAUGGUUCAAUAGUUAAAGACGGUUUUGCUGUCACUUAUAGAUGGAUCCGCGCCGCAUUAGCUAGUUGGUAAGGUAACGGCUUACCAAGGCGACGAUGCGUAGCCGACCUGAGAGGGUGAUCGGCCACACUGGAACUGAGACACGGUCCAGACUCCUACGGGAGGCAGCAGUAGGGAAUAUUCCGCAAUGGGCGAAAGCCUGACGGAGCAACGCCGCGUGAGUGAUGAAGGUCUUCGGACCGUAAAACUCUGUUAUUAGGGAAGAACAAAUGUGUAAGUAAAUAUGCACGUCUUGACGGUACCUAAUCAGAAAGCCACGGCUAACUACGUG